UUGCUCUGAGCUCUGUGUGAUCAAGUUUAUGUGUUUCUAUUGUACAGUGUCCCGGACAAAAGGACCAAGUUUUGGCGGGUGGGCAUCGGGAGUCCAGUUGGUUGGCUUCAGCCUUUGAGGUGCUGUCGGCUAGCGGCGCCGCUUCUGAGUGUCUCCUCAACUCACUCCCGUGGCACCUUCGGCCGAUUAUUUGCAUCAGGUUCGUGUGAAGUGCCACCUGUGAAGUUGAUCGACAAGGCAGUUGAAUGAAGCCACUUAUUAGCACCUUGCUUGCUCUUCUUUCUUUUUGGAGCCAAAAGAUCCAUCAGCGCUCCACUGCUGGGCAAGGCUAUCUCGGUCAUCUUCCGUCUGAUACAUAGGUCAAACCAGGACUCACACACUCUCUCGCCGAUAUUUCACUUCGCUCCCGUGAAUACAUUGUCUUCUACGCACGGCGGUGCUGCCUUGGAUCGGCCCUCCAUCGCGCCGCUUCGGUCGUCACCAUGCAUCUCAGCUCCAAUAACCAGGUCACGAUGGCUGAUGAUGAGCUCCAGGCUCCGCUGGCUCCACCAACAGCUGUCUGCGAGCAUUUGCACAGUUCUUGACAGCCUCCUAGCACACCUUGGGCGCGCUACUAGAUGGGGCCUCUCCUAAUUCACAACUGCUCCUAUGCCUAUCAAGGUUCAUGUGAGGCAGAUGAAUUACGCCACAUGUUAGUAUGCUUAGUGAUUAUGGCUUUGUAGUUGGCUGUCCUUAUGUGUUCUCGCUUUUUGUAUUGAACUUUGUGUUGAAUGGCCGUAUUUUGCGGUUGGCUGAAUGCACCGAGCUUGAUCCUGUCUUAUAUUCUGAUGUUGAUCUUGAGAUCC